rnacentral:tRNA from 2 species
GGGUGAUUAGCUCAGCUGGGAGAGAACCUCCCUUACAAGGAGGGGGUCGGCGGUUCGAUCCCGUCAUCACCCACCA